CAAGUCGAGUGCGCGGUUGUAGCAAUACAACUGGCGCACGGCGCACGGGUGCGUAACACGUGGGUAAUCUGCCCUCUGAUGGGGAAUAACCCCGCGAAAGCGGGGCUAAUACCGCAUAACAUUCCGGAAACUCUGGUUUUUGGAUUGAAAGGCGCAAGUCGUCGGAGGAGGAGCCCGCGCCCGAUUAGCUAGUUGGUAGGGUAAUGGCCUACCAAGGCUUUGAUCGGUAGCUGGUCUGAGAGGAUGGCCAGCCACACUGGAACUGAGACACGGUCCAGACUCCUACGGGAGGCAGCAGUGGGGAAUCUUGCACAAUGGGCGAAAGCCUGAUGCAGCGACGCCGCGUGGGGGAUGAAGCUACUCGGAGUGUAAACCCCUUUCGAUCCGGACGAAUGCCCGCAAGGGAGCGACGGUACGGAUAUAAGAAGCCCCGGCUAACUACGUGCCAGCAGCCGCGGUAAGACGUAGGGGGCCAGCGUUGUUCGGAAUUACUGGGUGUAAAGGGUUCGUAGGCGGUGUAGCAAGUCGGGAGUGAAAUCUCUGGGCUUAACCCAGAGGCUGCUUCCGAAACUGCUGUGCUUGAGUGUGGGAGAGGCGCGUGGAAUUGCAGGUGUAGCGGUGAAAUGCGUAGAUAUCUGCAGGAACACCCGUGGCGAAAGCGGCGCGCUGGACCACUACUGACGCUGAGGAACGAAAGCUAGGGGAGCAAACAGGAUUAGAUACCCUGGUAGUCCUAGCCCUAAACGAUCAGGACUUGGGGUGCCACCCGUUCGGGUGUCGUCCCGGAGCUAACGCGUUAAGUCCUGCAC
rnacentral:rRNA from 1 species